rnacentral:rRNA from 1 species
UACAUGGGGUGCAAACGUUGCUCGGAAUCAUUGGGCGUAAAGCGCGCGUAGGCGGUUGCUUAAGUCGGAUGUGAAAGCCCUCGGCUUAACUGAGGAAGUGCAUCCGAAACUGAGCAGCUAGAGUACGAAAGAGGGUCGCGGAAUUCCCGGUGUAGAGGUGAAAUUCGUAGAUAUCGGGAGGAACACCGGUGGCGAAGGCGGCGACCUGGGUCGAGACUGACGCUGAGGCGCGAAAGCUAGGGGAGCAAACGGG